rnacentral:rRNA from 1 species
UACAGAGGUGGCAAGCGUUGUUCGGAAUUACUGGGCGUAAAGGGCGCGUAGGCGGCCUUCUAAGUCACGUGUGAAAUCCCCCGGCUCAACCGGGGAAUGGCGCGUGAUACUGGCGGACUCGAGGCGGGUAGGGGUGAGCGGAACUCCAGGUGGAGCGGUGAAAUGCGUAGAUAUCUGGAGGAACACCGGUGGCGAAGGCGGCAUCCUGGACCAAUUCUGACGCUGAGGAGCGAAAGCCAGGGGAGCAAACGGG